rnacentral:rRNA from 1 species
GACGAACGCUGGCGGCGUGCUUAACACAUGCAAGUCGAACGGAAAGGCCUCUUUCGGGGGGUACUCGAGUGGCGAACGGGUGAGUAACACGUGAGUAACCUGCCCUUGACUUUGGGAUAACUUCAGGAAACUGGGGCUAAUACCGGAUAGGAGCUCCUGCUGCAUGGUGGGGGUUGGAAAGUUUCGGCGGUUGGGGUUGGACUCGCGGCGUAUCAGCUUGUUGGUGGGGUAGUGGCUUACCAAGGCUUUGACGGGUAGCCGGCCUGAGAGGGUGACCGGCCACAUUGGGACUGAGAUACGGCCCAGACUCCUACGGGAGGCAGCAGUGGGGAAUAUUGCACAAUGGGUGGAAGCCUGAUGCAGCAACGCCGCGUGCGGGAUGACGGCCUUAGGGUUGUAAACCGCUUUCGCUCAUGACGAAGCUUUGUGUGACGGUAGUGGGUAAAGAAGCACCGGCUAACUACGUG